UAGAUGAUUGAAGACAUUCUGAAGAACAAACCUGGAGGAGACAGGAUCAUGAAUGAGUAUGCUCGGACAAAAAGCCUAACAGAUAGCAGAAGACACGAUAUGGUCAAGAUAUUGGUUGCACAAAUGACAAGUGAACAUGGGACAAGUCCUUCAAGGCGUGUUAAAGAGGACUACGCAGAGGGCAUCAUUGCCUUGUUCCCAUACCUGGCUGAUCCUAGGAGCAAGUUUGGUUAUGUGGUCCAAAAGCUGAUAGAGACCCCUUCAGAGAGGAAAACUGUCCAACAACAGAAAGCCUGUGUUGUGAGGCCAUUGCACUGAUGAAGCAUACAGCUGAUGAAGCAGACGUUCACCUAUCGCCAAAAGAUGGUUUGUGAUUCAGUGAAGUCCUCUGAAAUAUUCAUAGCGUUUCCAAGAUUCCAAGACAUAGCAGGAAUGGUAUGUGGAUCUUCGACUGCCUUGCCUCAACUGUCAGGACAAUUGUUUUCUGUUCUACAACAGUCUGAUUAGGACUGUGAUAUAUUACAUGACGAUAGUGCCACACCAUAAUGUUUACUGUUCUACAACAGUCUGAUUAGGACUGUGAUAUAUUACAUGACGAUAGUGCCACACCAUAAUGUUUACUGUUCUACAACAGUCUGAUUAGGACUGUGAUAUAUUACAUGACGAUAGUGCCACACCAUAAUGUUUACUGUUCUACAACAGUCUGAUUAGGACUGUGAUAUAUUACAUGACGAUAGUGCCACACCAUAAUGUUUACUGUUCUACAACAGUCUGAUUAGGACUGUGAUAUAUUACAUGACGAUAGUGCCACACCAUAAUGUUUACUGUUCUACAACAGUCUGAUUAGGACUGUGAUAUAUUACAUGACGAUAGUGCCACACCAUAAUGUUUUCUGUUCUACAACAGUCUGAUUAGGACUGUGAUAUAUUACAUGACGAUAGUGCCACACCAUAAUGUUUACUGUUCUACAACAGUCUGAUUAGGACUGUGAUAUAUUACAUGACGAUAGUGCCACACCAUAAUGUUUACUGUUCUACAACAGUCUGAUUAGGACUGUGAUAUAUUACAUGACGAUAGUGCCACACCAUAAUGUUUACUGUUCUACAACAGUCUGAUUAGGACUGUGAUAUAUUACAUGACGAUAGUGCCACACCAUAAUGUUUACUGUUCUACAACAGUCUGAUUAGGACUGUGAUAUAUUACAUGACGAUAGUGCCACACCAUAAUGUUUACUGUUCUACAACAGUCUGAUUAGGACUGUGAUAUAUUACAUGACGAUAGUGCCACACCAUAAUGUUUACUGUUCUACAACAGUCUGAUUAGGACUGUGAUAUAUUACAUGACGAUAGUGCCACACCAUAAUGUUUACUGUUCUACAACAGUCUGAUUAGGACUGUGAUAUAUUACAUGACGAUAGUGCCACACCAUAAUGUUUACUGUUCUACAACAGUCUGAUUAGGACUGUGAUAUAUUACAUGACGAUAGUGCCACACCAUAAUGUUUACUGUUCUACAACAGUCUGAUUAGGACUGUGAUAUAUUACAUGACGAUAGUGCCACACCAUAAUGUUUACUGUUCUACAACAGUCUGAUUAGGACUGUGAUAUAUUACAUGACGAUAGUGCCACACCAUAAUGUUUACUGUUCUACAACAGUCUGAUUAGGACUGUGAUAUAUUACAUGACGAUAGUGCCACACCAUAAUGUUUACUGUUCUACAACAGUCUGAUUAGGACUGUGAUAUAUUACAUGACGAUAGUGCCACACCAUAAUGUUUACUGUUCUACAACAGUCUGAUUAGGACUGUGAUAUAUUACAUGACGAUAGU